GACGAACGCUGGCGGCGUGCCUAACACAUGCAAGUCGAACGGAAAGGCCCUGCUUUCGUGGGGUGCUCGAGUCGCGAACGGGUGUGUAACACGUGAGUAACCUUCCCUGGGCUGUGUGAUAACUUCAGGAAAGCGGGGCUAAUACCGGCGACGAGCUCCUGCUGCAUGGUGGGGGUUGGAACGUUUCGGCGGUUGUGGAUCGACGCGCGGCUAAUCAGCUGGUGGGGUGGGUAGUGGCUUACGAGGCGUUCGGCGGCUGGCCGGCAUGGGAGGUUGGCCGGCGUCAUGGCGACUGCGAUAGGGCGCAGACUGGUACGGGAGGCAGCAGUGGGAAAUAUGGCACAGUGGGCGGAAGCCUGAUGCGGCAGUGCCGCGUGCGGGAUGACGGCCUUCGGGUUGUAAACCGCUUUCGCCUGUGACGAAGCGUGAGUGACGGUAAUGGGUAAAGAAGCACCGGCUAACUACGUG
rnacentral:rRNA from 1 species